rnacentral:rRNA from 1 species
GACAGAGGAUGCAAACGUUGCUCGGAAUUACUGGGCGUAAAGCGCACGUAGGUGGACUUUCAAGUCAGGGGUGAAAUCCCGGGGCUCAACCUCGGAACUGCCUUUGAUACUGUUGGUCUUGAGUCCGGAAGAGGUGAGUGGAAUUCCUAGUGUAGAGGUGAAAUUCGUAGAUAUUAGGAAGAACACCGGUGGCGAAGGCGGCUCACUGGUCCGGUACUGACACUGAGGUGCGAAAGCGUGGGGAGCAAACAGG